rnacentral:rRNA from 1 species
CGGAUUGCAGCCUGCAACUCGGCUGCAUGAAGCUGGAAUCGCUAGUAAUCGCGGAUCAGAACGCCGCGGUGAAUACGUUCCCGGGUCUUGUACACACCGCCCGUCACACCAUGGGAGCCGGAAACGCCCGAAGCCAGCGGCCCAACCGCAAGGGGGGAGCUGUCGAAGGCGGGGCCGGUGACCGGGGUGAAGUCGUAACAAGGUAGC